CUCAGCUCUGCAAGCACCCUGAAUCAGACUAAUGUAAAAUGAAAGUGUACCAGAUACAGAUAACUAACAUAUUCUCUCCAGCAUUUCUACAACUCCAAGAUGGAGAAGUAGAUUAAAACCUGUCAAAUGUGAUGUCUGAACUCUGUGAUCAAGCAUCAAGUGGAAGUUGGUUUAUUGCACAACUGCAUGCUAAAAUUAGAGGCCUAAAUACCUGAAAUACCUACAUGAAUUCCAAAUAAAUGCCUUUUUACAAGCUGUUGUAAAUCAAAUUUACAAGUUACUCAUUAACAAUGUUUUUUGGCUAAAGGGAAAGAACUUUCUUCAGCUGCAGGAGACUUUUUUGUUGGCAGCCACUGUAUGACUCCCCCAAUCACACAUCCUGUAAACGGCACACUGCUUUGCUAUGGUAACCAUGUGUUUUCAUCCAGUCUGCUGGACAUCUCAUCAGACUAAGUAAACACAAGGUAACCAUGUUUUUAUCAGCCUGCGUUGCCUUAGUUUUCAGUGUUUGCAGCUGCUAGGGUUUAACUCGAGCUGCUGAUUCCAGCUAAAGAAACAAGUCUAAGAACUUGGAGGAGGACGUUUGUGGCAUACUUUUAAACUUUCUUUAGGUAAGUGCAGUUCUGCACAGAUUAUGAUGCUGGUUUCUUUGUUCCACUAGAGAGGAGAGAAGUUUGAGUUUCAGGAGUUAUGCUUGAUUGCAGCAGGAAACGGGAUGGAAACGUGUCGACUGUUGGGGCUGCAUACUUUACUGACCCAACCAUCAAGCCCAAAGUCAUUUGGGCCAGUCAUGGUCAUGUUUGCUCCCUUAUCUCUUUUGAUUCUCAUGUACAAUAGAAUAUCUGACAUGCUGAAAAAGACAGCCAUGACAGACUUUUAUUAGAGAUUGAUCAUAUUUCAAGACAUGCAGUGGAACUUCAUGAAUUGUCCUCAUGUUUAAAAACUGUUUGCUUCUACACCGUGAGGGAAGAGGAUAUGCUCUUCCUGGCCCAAUAAAUGUGCAGUAAAUGGCAUGUGAUGAUAACUAAAUAUAACCUCUUAGUAUCAAUAAACAUCUAUUAAAAUCAAUAUGCCCAUUGUUCUGAACUUUGAUGACAUGUUACAACACAAAAGCACACAGAAGGGAGGUGCUGCAGUAGAAACAGGUGGUGAGAUAACAAGCUCAUAAAAGAGCUGGAUAUUUUCUGGCUUUAAGGUAAAGGAAGUAAGUCUUCAUAUUCAUCAUCGUCAUCAUCAGCCUCUCAGGUGAGUAGCUCCGCUCUCCUCACAAGGCUUGGAUUAGUCUGUGUGCUCCAGUAAACUAAACCACGACUUGUUCACAAACAUUUUUUAUGGAGAUUUGAUACUAUUUACGCCUGACCAGAGCAUCAGGGUCGAGAGCUUGAUAACUGAUUCUGUACGUUUCUGUUUCUGUGUUCUUCAGCAAAGAAGAUUCUGGUUUUUUUAAGGCACUGAUACGCGGCUACAAUGCAAAAGAAACUUCUUAUUGCGGCUCUUUGCCUUCUUGCUACAGUGAUUCUGUGUGGAGCUCAGACAACUUUUGACCCAACCACUAACGGGUCCACAGCAGCUCCAGAAACAGGAACAACAGCUAAUCAAACUGCUGCACCCAGCACAGCUAUAACCGGUAACCAAAGUACCAUCCCAGCAACGGAUCCCAAUACAUGGACAACUGUUAAUGCCACCCUUGACGAUUCAUCCGGAGGGCUUUCAUCAGGAGCGAUCGCAGGCAUUGUCAUUGGCACCAUUGGUGGGGUGGCUUUACUUGGUGGAGGCAUCUAUGGUGUGCUGAAAUGCACCAACACGAUCUAAAACCAGCUCUCACUAAAUGAAGACUUCAAUGGUCAAACACUGUAACCCCAAACAUUUAUUAUCCCAAUUUCAGGAGUUUUUCUGAUCCUAAUAAGAGGAUGGAAAGAAAAGAAAAUCACUUUGUCUGAAAGGCCCAUAUCUGAAUAAAACCUGAGUCUAAAAUGAUGAUGACGAUGGGCCAAGAGGAAGACAUAAAAAUCUAUUUGACUAUGCCGAUUGUCUGACUGCAGGGUCAGAGGAUAAUUUGUAAGCUGAUCAAAAACUUUUCUUUUGUUAAAUAGAAACUAUUUAAUAUUUGCAUGCUUGUCUUGACUUAAAUGGGCUAGAAGUUUAUGCAUUUGUGAAAACUAAUCUAUUAAUGUCCAUCUGUGAACUGAAGUAGCUUGUGUUGGUCAGAUUUUGCACAAAGUAGUUCUGAAGCAUGUGCUGCUGCUUCAGUGCAAGAUGUCGGUUAAUGAGCUGCACUCUUGUUACUUCUUUUAUUAAAAAAAAAUCUUUGUAAGUGCAUUUGGACUGACAUACCUCAUUAUAAGUCAACCGUUUUAAUCUAGAUUUAUGACCUUU